UUAAGCGACUAAGCGUACACGGUGGAUGCCCUGGCAGUCAGAGGCGAUGAAGGGCGUGCUAAUCUGCGAUAAGCGCCGGUAAGGUGAUAUGAACCGUUAUAACCGGCGAUACCCGAAUGGGGAAACCCAGUGUGAUUCGUCACACUAUCAUUAACUGAAUCCAUAGGUUAAUGAGGCGAACCGGGGGAACUGAAACAUCUAAGUACCCCGAGGAAAAGAAAUCAACCGAGAUUCCCCCAGUAGCGGCGAGCGAACGGGGAGGAGCCCAGAGCCUGAAUCAGCAUGUGUGUUAGUGGAAGCGUCUGGAAAGGCGCGCGAUACAGGGUGACAGCCCCGUACACAAAAGCGCAUGUGCUGUGAGCUCGAUGAGUAGGGCGGGACACGUGGUAUCCUGUCUGAAUAUGGGGGGACCAUCCUCCAAGGCUAAAUACUCCUGACUGACCGAUAGUGAACCAGUACCGUGAGGGAAAGGCGAAAAGAACCCCGGCGAGGGGAGUGAAAAAGAACCUGAAACCGUGUACGUACAAGCAGUGGGAGCACAGGUUUACCUGUGUGACUGCGUACCUUUUGUAUAAUGGGUCAGCGACUUAUAUUCUGUAGCAAGGUUAACCGAAUAGGGGAGCCGGAGGGAAACCGAGUCUUAAC
rnacentral:rRNA from 1 species